GCCCUCGGGCUGAUUAGUGGGCGCACGGGUGAGUAAUGUAUAGGUUACGUGCCUCUUAGUUCGGGAUAGCCAUUGGAAACGAUGAUUAAUACCGGAUACUCCUCUUACGAGGGAAAGAUUUAUUGCUAAGAGAUCGGCCUAUAUCGUAUCAGCUAGUUGGUGAGGUAAUGGCCCACCAAGGCAAUGACACGUAGCGGGUUUGAGAGGAUGAUCCGCCACACUGGUACUGAGACACGGACCAGACUCCUACGGGAGGCAGCAGUGAGGAAUAUUGCACAAUGGGGGAAACCCUGAUGCAGCAACGCCGCGUGGAGGAUGACGCAUUUCGGUGUGUAAACUCCUUUUAUCAGAGAAGAAAAUGACGGUAUCUGAUGAAUAAGCUCCGGCUAACUCCGUGCCAGCAGCCGCGGUAAUACGGAGGGAGCAAGCGUUAUUCGGAAUCACUGGGCGUAAAGGGCGCGUAGGCCGGUUUGUAAGUCAGGUGUGAAAUCCAAUGGCUCAACCAUUGAACUGCACUUGAAACUGCGAACCUAGAGUAUGGAAGGGGCAGAUGGAAUUAGUGGUGUAGGGUAAAAUCCGUAGAGAUCACUAGAAUACCGAAAGCGAAAGCGAUCUGCUGGGACAUUACUGACGCUGAGGCGCGAAAGCGUGGGGAGCAAACAGGAUUAGAU
rnacentral:rRNA from 1 species